AGUGAACGCUGGCGGUAGGCCUAACACAUGCAAGUCGAACGGCAGCACAGUAAGAGCUUGCUCUUACGGGUGGCGAGUGGCGGACGGGUGAGGAAUACAUCGGAAUCUACUUUUUCGGGGGGGAUAACGUAGGGAAACUUACGCUAAUACCGCAUACGACCUACGGGGGAAAGCAGGGGAUCUUCGGACCUUGCGGGAUUGAAUGAGCCGAUGUCGGAUUAGCUAGUUGGCGGGGUAAAGGCCCACCAAGGCGACGAUCCGUGGCUGGUCUGGGAGGAUGAUCAGCCACACUGGAACUGAGACACGGUCCAGACUCCUACGGGAGGCAGCAGUGGGGAAUAUUGGACAAUGGGCGCAAGCCUGAUCCAGCCAUACCGCGUGGGUGAAGAAGGCCUUCGGGUUGUAAAGCCCUUUUGUUGGGAAAGAAAAGCAGCAGGUUAAUACCCCGCUGUUCUGACGGUACCCAAAGAAUAAGCACCGGCUAACUUCGUG
rnacentral:rRNA from 1 species